rnacentral:rRNA from 1 species
UACGUAGGGUGCAAGCGUUAAUCGGAAUUACUAGGGCGUAACGUGCGCAGGCGGUUAUGUAAGACAGAUGUGAAAUGCCCGGCUUAACCUGGGAACUGGCAUUUGUGGACUGCAUGGCUAGGAGUUUGGCAGAGGGGGGUAGAAUUCCACGGUGUAGCAGUGAAAUGCGUAGACUAUGUGGAGGAACGACCGAUGCGAAGGCAGCCCCCUGGGCUGACACUGACGCUCAGGCACGAAAGGCGUGGG